UACGGGGGGGGGCGAGCGUUGUUCGGAAUCACUGGGCGUAAAGGGCGCGUAGGCGGCCCGCACAAGUCUGCGGUGAAAACCUCCGGCUUAACCGGGGGCCGGCCGUGGAAACUGUCGGGCUGGAGGCUGGGAGAGGGCAGCGGAAUUCCCGGUGUACGCGGUGAAAUGCGUAGAGAUCGGGGAGGAACACCGGUGGCGAAGGCAGGCUGCC
rnacentral:rRNA from 1 species